rnacentral:rRNA from 1 species
UACGUAGGGUGCAAGCGUUAAUCGGAAUUUCUGGGCGUAAAGCGUGCGCAGGCGGUUCGCUAAGACAGAUGUGAAAUCCCCGGGCUUAACCUGGGAACUGCAUUUGUGACUGGCGGGCUAGAGUAUGGCAGAGGGGGGUAGAAUUCCACGUGUAGCAGUGAAAUGCGUAGAGAUGUGGAGGAAUACCGAUGGCGAAGGCAGCCCCCUGGGCCAAUACUGACGCUCAUGCACGAAAGCGUGGGGAGCAAACAGG